AAAACUCCUGGUGGUUACUGCCUGCUAAGACCCAUAGCCCGCAAUGGGAACAGGCUGCCUGCCAGACUUUCUCCACUAUCCCAAGAUAUAAUAUAGGGUUUUCUUAUCUCCAGGUAUGAUUUCCUGCUGUGUUUUUUUUCUCCUUCGGGGAAGGCUCACUAGAUGGCACUGUGUUCCUGCUGGACAAGCCACCUUUGCUUCUAGGGUAGGUGAAAGGCAUCAUUGCCUUUGUCUUUACUUUCAUCUGUCUGCCUUCAGUCUUUACCAGCGGGGGGGGGGGGAAUUGGGUAUUCAUUAAUAAAAUGUGCUUUAGUACAGUUUCCCAUUCCAGCUUCAGGAGCCCUGAAUCAUUUGCCCAAGGGAAUCUCUAGUUAGAAUAAUACACUUUAUAUUACAUGAUUUUCUACUUUGUUCUUUCGGUGUGCUUCUCUCUUCCUGUUACUGCCCAUGCAGCAGGCUUGGAAGGCAUAGAGAAAAGUGGGACUGCAAGUUUAGCGCAAGACUAAACUUUCUCAAAUGUGGAUGUUGCCUUGCAAGUUUGGAAAACAAAUCAAAAUACUGUAUGGAUCAUUGAGCAGUCGGAAUGGAGUAAUCUUCCUUCUCUGCUGAUCUGUGACACAAGGGUAACUUGUACCAACUGGAGAGCGCGUAUAUGGAAUCUUGGUGACAUAUACAUCUGCUACAAAAAGGAGACGUUAAUGAUCACUUCGUUGAGGCAUUUGAACUGUCUGAGCAAAGCAGAGCGAUGCUGGGUGGCACCACUUUGUGCACAUUGCCCUACCUGCUUUCCCUACAUGCCCCUCCAGCGUGCCUCCCAUAGAGAAAGAGGUGGAAGGCUUGCCUGGUUGCCAAGGGCACAGUGCUCCAGAAGAGCUAGUAAAGGGUAAGCAUAAUGACUGUCUGGGAAAUGGAAAUCUCAUGAUUUACAAAAUAAGGUUCAAGAAAAGCAACAGAUUUGGGUCUCCACUUCCCCAUUCUGCCAGUGCUGGUCAGAACAGAGGCUACCUGCAAAGGGGCUCACAGGACUUGUUGACUCAGAAACAGGCUUCUGAAUUUUCCUUACUUCAUAUUGGUUCUUUCACAACUGGACUGAUAACUUCUAUGAACCUGGCUGAUGAGAGAUGAUUUUUUUCACAUGAAUCACUGAAAUCUCUUCACCUGCUAACAGCUCUGGAUGUCUGCUGACUUCAAGCUGAGUCAGUAACUAAGAACAAAAUGUUCUGGUUCCCCUCUCAUAGGAUCCUUGCAUUCCUCUUUCCUUUGUGUAAUGUGCAGUUAGGCAUAGAAGUAAGUACUUUUACAGUUAGUAGUACUGCACAUCAAUUGCCAAUCAGAGCAGGUAUAUUUAUUACUACAUACAGUUGCUUUAAAAGGCAAAUUACAGUUUGUUUAGUUCUCACUGACCUCAUAGCCACUGCUUGUUAAAAAUGUAAUGCAUGUGUUUAAUAUGUGAAACAAGUUCAGUAGCAUAUAAUUUGGAUGACACGUAAAUCUUGUUUUUAUAUGAGAACUAAAGUAAUUCAAAUGGUUCCUUUCACUGGAGCUUCUCAUACACUAUCUUGUCUAUCCAGGAAAGCUAAUCCUUAGGAGAUUUACAGUGUUUAAGGUGGUUUCCAGGUUUUUAUUGAGCAGAUCUGUGGAAAAAAAAAAAUAAAAUAAAAUAGUGGUCUCAUUUGAUCUUAAAAAUAUGCCUUAACUUUUAUGUUAGCAUCAAGACAGGAUUCAAUGGAAAAUUAACCAGAGCUUUUGAGUCUAAUACUCUAUCCACGUAGGGAAAAAUAUUUUUGUCAUUUGUGCAAUGUAAUCUGGAGUAGAUUGGUAUGCAAUAAGAUCUUUAGGAUAUGCCUAUAGUUUCUUUUUUUCAGCUAGUCUGAAGCUCUCAUGUCUGGAUUAAGUAAGGGUAAGACUGGAAUACAGAUAUACUGUCACUUUAGCAUCAUUUAUUUGAAACUAUCUGCUGGACAUGUUGGUAAAUUAAAGAAAACAGAACUGCAGUGCCAAAUGCCACAUCUUAAUCUGAGUGUCACUGGUCCUCACCAUGUCCCUUCAGAAGUCUCCAGCUCCAGUUCUUCAGUUGUUUCAGUCCAUAGCCUUUUCUCAAGAACAGCUGGGAUUUAUGUCACUUCCUUAUGUGACCAAGCCAUUAGGAAUCAUACGAAUGUAAGCUUUCCUUCUUUAUUUUUUUUUUUCUCAGUUGGUCAGAAGUGAGAACUUCUCAAAAUAUUGAAGCUUGUUCUUUGAAACAAAAAGGUGGUGCAAGACGAAUAGCAGAAGCCUUUGGUUCUACUCUGCCUUGUCAACCAUAGAAAUCAAAUUCUGGGUCUCCAGUGGAGAAAAACUGUUGUAUCAAAGAAAAAGAUACAGUGGAACAUACUAAAAACUCUUCCUACCAAAACUAUUUUUUGUGAAUUUUUAAAAAAAUGUCAUUUUUUCAGCUAUUCUGUCUUUAAAUACCAUAAAUUUCAUGCAGCUGCAGUCGUAGCAAUAUUCAGAGCUCAUCUUGUGCAUUUUUCUGUUUGUCUCAGAUAGUUUGAAAGCAAAGUGACUACAGUUACUGCCAUUUUACAGAUGGAAGAGAUGCAGCAUGUAAGAAGCAUGUAUGAUUUUGACUGUGUCAGGCACUGAGUGACAGGUCAGUGAUGUGUCUUCUGCAUCUGACAGCACACACUUUGGGGAAGAACUGUAACACCACAGUUCUUUCCAGAAAUGAGACGCAAGCAACAAAGUCAUGACUGCACAGACACUUUGGAGUGUAAAAUGCAAUUACUUUUGCCCUUUUAAGAUGGAGAUCUCUUGCCUUCUCACUUCUCUUGAACUAUCUAUCUUUCUUCAAAGCCUGCAAAACUGAAAGCUUAAAACUUUGGGUAGACUUUUAGGAAAGGAAAAGAAAAAGAACUGACAAAGAUGAAGUCUGUUUUCGGAGGAAUCUAGAGAUAACCCUGCUGGAGGGGCUCUUCUUUGUACUACAGUAAUAGCUUUGUUUAUAAAGAAUGACUAGUGCAGUAGACAUGGGGUCAGUGUUGAAGCUGGUGUUUCUUUUAGCUAAUCUCCAGCUCUCCCACAUGCCAAAUUGACCUGUUUGGGAUAUGAAGCUCAUUUAUCUUUAUGGGAGAAUAAAGGACAGGACUGGGGAGGAAUUUAUCAUCCUUUUAAAAUACUCUAUUUCCUGAUAAUGAUGGCAGGGGCUAACACCAAAUAGAGCAAAUGCAGUUUCCCAUUAUAAAGCCAUUGGAACAGAUUUCUUCCAUAAUUCUGAAAUACAAAUAUCAAAAUUAGAGUAGAUUCUGAGUCAAAACUUCACUACAUUUGAAGUGAAGGCAGAGGGGACUGACGAGUGGGUCAGGAAUUUAUGACUCAUAUCAGUAACUUCUGUUUUGUUAAAAUAAAUCAGUAACAGAUACUGAUAAGAUCAUAGUUGAUUGUCAGUGUAACUUUUGCAAUUCAUAUUUGGCAAUUCUUCACCUGCUGUUUUGUUUUUUUUUUUUUUUAAAGUUUGAAUUUAUCAAAUACACCUUCUUUACUGGAUGGAUUCUCUUCACCUGAGCAGACUUUAGUGUUGAAAACGUUUGCCUUGUUGGAGAUAUUCUUCAGAAUAUCAGAACUUCAGAACUCUCAGUGCAUAUGCAAAGGCUUUGUUUGCUACUUGUGAAAUGGCUUCUGAAUUAUACAUGCUAUUUUUCACCUCAGAUUGUCUGGACCUUUCACCUCACAGUGUAUGGACCUUAAAGAGACUUUUUAAGAUCUCUGCCUGCAUUUAAGCACAUUGUAUGGUCUUGACUGGCAUGGAUGUCCCUCUUGAUUUUCUUAUAGCUUCUGUGCUAAAAAUCUUGUCAGAUUUGUUAAUACUCAUUCCAAAUGACCAUAGCUGGGACCUGGUGAAGCUAAACUCUAUUUGUUACCACUAUUUAUGCUAAUACAAAUCAAAUUCUGACAUUGUUUCUUUAAAAUUUUCUUUCAGUACAGCUGAAAGACCCGAGGAUUGGGCGCAAAUGACCUCUUUGGGGUGGUAAGUGACUUUGCAAGCAGGGGUUUGGAAGUGCCUGGAAGGAGGAGAAGGCAUCUGUGCCCUUUAAAAAAGCAAGACAAGAGAAGAAGGCUUUCAGACCCCUCUUCUGUUGCCUUGUUUAGUCAUGGCUGGAUUAGGAUAUUAUAAACUCAAGGAAUGGUGUAUGUUGUGUUCUGAACUAGAUAGUUAGAAGCUCAUGCAGUCACUGCUGGGCUUAUGUUUCUAACAAUAUCAGAGUGACAGCAGAUUAUUUUUUUUAAGUCCAUACCACUUCCCAUGUUGUCCCUGCCCAGGAAGGUGGUGGAGGCACUGACCCAAGAGGUGUUCAAGAAAUGUUUGGACGUUGUGUUGAGGGACAUGGUUUAGUGAGAACUACUGGUGAUCGGUGGAUGGUUGGACUGGGUGAUCCCAUGAGUCUUUUCCAACAUUGGUGAUUCCAUGAUUUUAUGAUUACUGCUGUAGCAUGCUGGUAGUGGUCUACCAGAUAGAUGGAAAGAAGAAAACUUUUAUAUCUGCAUAUAUAUAAAAUAAAAUAGAAAAUUAUACAGGAAACAAAGCAAAUAAUGGGUUAUAAAAAAGAAAAAAAAUUAGAAACAAUGAAGAACAUAAAAUAUUAGCAGAAUUUUGAAAAUUAGGAGUUGCAUGGAGAUAAAGGUUUGGAAGACAAAAGAACUGUACUGCACAGUGCCAUUUUUACACACUAUAUACAAGCUAGUGCUAUCUUGUAUCAAAACAGCACUGUGAGUUAGAACAAAGCUAACUGAGAAAUCCUAGAAGGCACUGGGAGAGAAGAAGACAUUCAGAAUUUUUUUUCAUCUCUAAGUGGGGUAGUAUCAGGACAACCACUAGACUCAAACUAGUGCUCAUAUUUAGAAACAAUCUAAGUUCAUUACUGAGAAAAUGUGAAGAUAACAGUGAUCAGCAGACUGGUAAAUUGAGAGGAUGAGGCAACUGAUGGAGUGAUCAUGAUCUCAUGAUAAGCAAGGACGUUCAAAUGUGUUUUUGAAUGAAAGCCUAUAAUCUGGGAACAAAGAAAGCUGGACACAACUGCAGAACAUGGGCUUCGGCUCUGGAGAGGUGCCUGAACUGACAUUUCAGCAGUUGCCCUCUGCAGAAAGCUGCAACUAAGGCAAGUCUGGGUUGUACAGAAGAGCAGGACCAGGAAGAUAGUUUCUCCCUUUGUAACAGCACUGCUGGGUGGUGGUAUUCAACAACAGAAACUGUUUUUCGAAAGGAAGAAUGAGAAAUUGGAGACAAAACAGAAGGAAAGCAUAAAUAUGAUUUGAAGGUUGAAGAAUAUUUCCCACAGGUGAAAAUAGAAAAGUGCUAAAAGAAGGUCUGAGGUGAUUUAAUUACAGCACAUAACAAAUACAAAGAGGUACAGAACAGGAAGGCAGCAUGGUGAAGGCUUAGCAGCUGAUCUUGGACAACUCUGAAGGAGGAAUAAUCCUUUAAUGAGAUAGAUAAAACUUCAGGACAAGAUAGGAAGUGGUUUAACUAUCCUUUAGAGCCUUCAGAUCAAACCCUAAUGCCGAUUUCUGUUGGCAAGUUCAAGAAAGAAAUGUAAACACAUGUGAUAUAAUAGGAGGAAGAUCAAACAACCUAGUGCUCCCAUUAGGAGCUAAUGGAGUGGUAUAUCUAAACUCCCCCAUGAUUGCACAGUUCAUGAGAACUUUUCAAAUUUUAGAAAGUUGGUCCUGUGUAUUAUUUUCAUGUUCACUGGAGUUGUAACAUACAUUGCAAACCAUAUCUUUUGUGAUCCUAAUUAUGAAAGCAAUCAGGAGAAACAACUUUAAUGCAGUGUCUGAAAAAUAUUAAAAAUUACUAUGUGCUGAGUUAUUUCAUAUGAAUAUAGUAAGCACCACAAUGAUUGCUGGAAUUAGUGGUAAUUAAUAAUCCUUGUGACAUUCUAAGAGGACAGAAGAGAUAAUGAAAAAAAUUAUACUUCUUUGGAUAGCAACACCAAGACAGUCACAAUGAGGUCUAUUAAGAGAACAUCUUCUGGAACACAGCAGCUCUGGGACUUGACUCUGUGGCCACUGUAGUGGUAAAUGUAUCCUGCUGUCUCAUUACUAUUUUGGAAAAUGCUACAAAAAUUCCAUGCUUUUGGGGUGAUUUGUUGCGCAUAUACUAAGAACAGCUGAAGAAACAGAUUAAUAAUUACAAACAUGAACUAAACCCUGAAAAUUCCCCUAUUUCCUUCAAUUUAAACAUGUUACCAUGUACUGAGGAAUUAAGAGGAACUCUCAUAUGUGUUAAAUAAAACCUAUGCAAGUCCUGAAUCUUGUUUGUAUAUGUGUAUAUGUGGCUAUAUAUGAUGCAGCACACAUGCAUAGUGAUCUGCAAGCAUAGAUAUAAAUGUUCCGGCCAAAGUGGAAAAGAUAUUAAAACAAAGUCACAUAUGAAAGUGCAAAAAACCAAAACAAACAAAAAAAAUCUUUUUCAGCAUGGCACUGUGUUUAUGAAACACAGAAAUGCAUUCCUUGUAUGUGGAAUUUACCUGCUGUUAUGGGUGGACAUAAGAUCUGUAAAUGGCAAGGUGUGGUUUCCUUGCAUUGUUUGGGGGAGUGUCUGUUUGGACAGAUUUAAAACAGUGAUCCAAAAGUUUGACAGUAGCAGCAUGAAAACAUGUUUUUCAAAAAUGAUAGGCAUGUUUCUGCUAUUCUGGUACAUUCCAUGCUUCUGAUUCAAAGGAAUACAAACAAACAAACCUUCAUUAAGCUAUUGCAUACCUAGGCAAAGUAAAAUGCUUUCUAAUUUACUUGUGUGCUAAGACAAUGGAAUUUGUAAGAGGCUUUUUGAAGAAAAGGUCAAUGCAGUAAAUUUAGGGUUUAUAUAUAUUUGAGUGUUGCAUCUUGUAAAGUGUGUUUCUAUAUGACACAGGUAGGUAACUCUUGAUAAUGUUCUAUGGCAGAAAUAUGGUUUCUCUAUGAACAUCUUUUUUCUUUUUUUCCCAGUUAGUAUUCUGUACUAGAAAUAUCAAGUUCCAAUUUAGCUUUAUUGACUUUGGCAGCAUUUGGAGAAAAUCUAUCAGAUAACAUCAUUUGUAUCCAAAACUUCUGAAGAACUUUUCUUAUUGUCCUCAAGGACUUACGAAAGGGAAUGUGGAGCUGGGCUCCCACUCAAUGAUGCCACACGUGUUUUGCAUGUGUAUGAGGUAUGGCUAAGUCAGAGGCCUAGAGGAGGUAAGGAAGGAAGCAGGGUAUGUCUGGAUGCACUACAUAGCACUUGAAACAGACAAGCAGGCAGCUUCCAUCUUGUCAUUUUGGUUAUAACCACCACCGUGACCAUCCAGCCACAAGCUGCGUAUAUCUUCUACAGACUUAGAAUCCAAAAGAAGUUUUGCUGUAAUUGUGCCAGUGGUAUUCAUCUCUGUGGUUUUAACAUGCUUCAUGAAUGUUGUUUGUAGGUAGUGGUAUCAGUCUGAACCUGGGAAAGAUUCACCCCCUUAUUAAAAACAAAAACCAAAAUAAACAAACAAAAAAACCCCCAAGAAUACAGAAUCUUUAUCUAUGGUUCAGAGAGUUUACAACUGAGUCCAUGCCAAUCCUCCUGUUGUGUGUGAUGAAGAGAAUUGUGUAGAUGCAGUGCUGCUGUCUGGAAACAAAAAAAUCUCUGAAGUUAUGAAACACACACAACAUACAUUCACUUCAGGUAGUAUUAGGCAUUUAGAUCCUUUUACAGACAGAAUACAGAGAUGAUAGGAUGUUGUUUGUAAGGAUACUCAGGCAUUGGUCUUCUCAGUGUUGCAAUGCCUAAUUGACUAUUAUUUUGUUUCAAAAAUGGCUUGAGAUUCUAAAGCUGAGGUUUAAAAGGAACUGAAGCACUUAAGUCAGAGUAAUGUCUAAUUCCUUCUUAUUUAUCCAAUAUCUUUCUAAUGCAAGAUGCAAAAAUUGUCACAGAUGUAAAGACUGAAAUAUAAAUUUUCUUAUUCAUGCUUUGAAGAAUACCAAUUCCAUCUUCUUCCUUUGCUGUUUUUACAUCAAAGAGUCUUGUAUUUUUUGCUUUAUGAUUACAGAGCUUCUGUAGGGAGUUGGAAAUGUUUUUGUCUUGGUGACAGAAGACAUGGGGUUGCAUCCUGUUAAGUGUAAAAAAACCCUAACUCUUGAAAAUUGAGUCAAAUAAUGUAUGAUUGAACAGACUCAUGUCUCUAGAGACAACUCUAGAUAGUUAAAGAUAAAUAAGUCAAUCUCUACAAGCUUCAGGCUUACUUGAUUUGCCUUGCAUACAUAUACUUGGUAAGUGGGUAAAAUGGUACUCAGUCGAAGAAUAAUGAAUUCACCCUGAACCUCCAAAGUUUUAGGUGAAUGCUGUUAAAAUUUGAAAAUUUUCUCUUGAUUUAAAACAGAUUUUAAUGUGCUUGAAUAUACUGAAAAGAAUUCAUGGGCCCGUGUAAAGUUUCUAAUGGUCAAUAGUAUUUGAAAUAUUAAAAUGUAACUCCUCUCUUUUCAUAAAAUUUCCUAAGAUUUGUUGAAUAAUGCUGCAAGCUGGAAAAUCUACAUACGUGUUUCUGAAUUCACUGUGUAAUUAGUUAAUUGAAACACUGUAGCGCAUAACAUUUAAUCCAAUUCCCUCAUCUCUUAAGAUUUAAUAUCAAGAUCUCUCUGAUGGAAAUAAUUAUGAAAACAAUCCAUCUUCACGCUGACCUGAAAUAUCGUUGAGAGAACACUGUGAUAGGUUUGUUCGGUUCUUAUUUCUUCCUGAUCAUGUGGAAUUUCUACAGCACCACUGCAAGAGUUUUGACAUUUGAAUGAUUUCAGGUAACUGCAAAGAUAAGAAAACUUCUCAAAAUAUAGGUUGUACUAAUUCUAUAUUAAAACUGACAAUUCAAUUUCAAGCCCACUUACAACUGGUUAAAUCACUGGUUACUGUCUUUGCUUUUUUCAAAUCAAAGCUUCUUCAGACAUAGUUACUUAUUAAUUUUUUACAAUAAUGCAGAGAAUAUAUAGAGAAACUUCAGAUACCUUUCUGGUUGAGAUCCAUACAUGAUGUAUAGAUCAGAUCCUGCUCCAAAGGGCUUUCAGUGACAGUAAAUUAGACAAACUUGCCCAAGACUGCGUAGAAACAGCUUUCCUUCCUCCUGUUCCAUUGUUACUGCAACAGAUCACACAGUAUCCAUUGCCUUGCAACUUACCAUAGAAAAAAAAAAAAAAAAAAAAAAAAAAAAGAAAAUGAAAAAAACCUUCCUCCUUUACUCAUUUCUAUGAAGAGUCUCUCAAGAAAAUGGAACAAUUAGUCCUGUUUCAUAGCUGAAGACUGGACUAGAUCAAAUCACAGGGAUCUGUUUAGGUUGUAUACUGUCUGGCUUGUCACAUCUUCUCUUUCCUUUGAGACAGACAUACUUUGAAAGAGUAUGUUAGGUUCCAGAAUCUAUGCCUUGCCUUGGCAUCCUGUAUUUGUGUGUGUAUGUAUGUGUGGGAAGGGAGAUUACUUUAUUAAUUGUAAGAAAAUAUCCUUCAGGGAUUAUGCUAAAUUAUACUUUUUUUGCAACCCCUGAGAGAGGGCAUUUCAGAUGAUAUCCAGUGACGUGCCUAACAUGGCUUUUGCUGGUCCAACAUAUCAUCUAUUCCUCUUUCAAAUAAGGCUAAUAUUGUCACAAAAGUAGACCACAUCAAUGUCACAGUAAACCUCCUCAAUGAGGCAAGGCCAGUAGUUUGACUCUGUACUCCUCUCUGGACUAAAGUUUAUAGAGAGUAAUUAGAACUGCAAGGUGGUGUUGCUACAUUGGCAUUAUGCUGUCUUCAGUUCAAGAAAAGGUACAUUGUAAUAGAUUUUACUAACUUGAGUGUUGGACUUGCCCUGAUGUGCUGAUGUUACUUCUUGUCUGUGUGUCAGCUCUGGCUCUCGGCAAGGUAUUUCAUUGCAUGAUGCUAACCUGUGGCAGUAACUCCUCUGAGAGGCAAUUAUUCACCACGUUUAUGUGACCCCUUUUUACAUUCCUAUUUGUUCUUCCCUGAGCUAUCUUAUUUAAAAUAUUGAUGUUGCAGCAACAUAGUGGGUUUCCCUGGCAUGGAAAUUGAAAUUUUCAAUCACUGAACAGCAUGAUAAGUUUCAUUUUGCUUAAGCUGAAAGUGUAAUGAGGAACAUCUUAUUUCUCAGCAAAGAUUGAUUUGUCUCCUAUAUGUGGGUAAGCAAAUUUAUUAUAUAUGAAUAUAAUGUAACACCGUUGUGAGAAUUUGAAUACCAGCCUUAUAUCAGCUGCUGAAUAAUCACUCUUUGCUUUAUUUAGCAUGGCAUAGUUUGUUUGUCCUUUUCUGCACAUAAAAGACUGAACUGGCUGUGCUAAUUCCAGUUAUGGGUACACAGGGACAUUGGAAAGACAGAGAGGAGGUGGAAAACUUCAAGAGGUGCUCUGAAAGUAGAGACUCCUAUUUUGUUACAUUGGCCCAUGGCGUCAGAGGUGGAUGUUGGUGGUAUGACAGUAGAGGCUGAACUUUGCCUGCAACAUUCCAUUACAAGUUGCUGCUGUGUGACAUAUGGCAGCAGAGGGGCAGUCUGACACAAUGGCAUCUGACAUGGAAGUGUAUACGAAGCAAAUGUGUGCUACUGAAUUCUUUCAUGAAGAAAAAAUGGCACCCAUUUACAUUCACUAGUGCUUGAUGAGCAUUAAAGGAAAACAAAGAAUGAAUGUUAGCACAUUGAGGUGGUGGGUGGUACAUUUCAGCAGUGAUGACAGAGAUGUGAAAGACAAGCCAUGUUCUGGAUGGCCUUGCACAGCAAAAUGAAAAGCAUCCUGAUCAGCUCAUCCACACAAAUUGGCAGAUUUUGCGGGGGGAUUGUGUACAGAGCUGAAUAUCAGCUUCAAUGCAUUGAAAAUGAUGGUGGCAAUAUUGGAAUUUUGCAAAGUAUGUUCCAAGUUGAUCACAUGAAUUCAGAAAAAGCAGAAAAAGCACUAUAUGCAAGUUUGUCUGGACCUACUGAACCAAACAGAGAGGAAGUUGACAGUUUCCUGGUGUUACCACUAUGAGCUGGACUCAAAAUGGCAGUCUAUGGAGUGGUGAUUUGAAUUCCCCGUCAAAGGAAAUACUCAUGAUGCAAAUCUCAGCAAGUAAAGCGAUGUGCACAUUCUUUUGGGAUAGGAAAGGGGUGAUCCUUCUGGAUUUUCUCAAACCCAAACAAACCAUCAACUCUGACCACUAUGUUGUGACACAGACUAAAGAUGAAGGCUCUGACUUCCACAGUAAGCCAGAGAAGAAGACAGUCUUUCUUUCAACACAGUAAUGCCAGUACCCAUACCAAUUUGAAAACUGCAGAACACACUGCCAGUCUUGACUUGACUGUUCAACCACACCUACUGUACAGACCAGAUUUUUCAGCUCCUGUCUUUCAGCUGUUUGGACCAGUGAAAGAUGGCAACAUUUUCCUAGCGACAAUGCCAUCAUAGCAGCUCUGAAACUGUGGGUCACCUCUGCUUGUGGAGAUUUUUAUGAGCGUGGCACGCAGGCUCUUGUUCAUCUCUGACAAAAAUGCAUAGCUAAUGGUGGUGACUAUUUUAAAGAAAAAAAACAACUCUUCUGUAGCUGAAAACUUGCUCUAUCAGAGAGUGUUAUUGUGUGCUUUGUAUCUGUUGUAUUUUCCAUGGAAUAAAUAAGAGGCAUUAUUUUCAAAAUUAUCUACACAAAUCUGUAGCUACUUUUGUUCAUAUGGAGAUAAAACUUAAUUAAGAGAUUGUUUAUAUGAAAAUCAAA